rnacentral:rRNA from 1 species
UACAUGCAAGUCGAACGCUUUUUUUUUCACCGGAGCUUGCUCCACCGAAAGAAAAGGAGUGGCGAACGGGUGAGUAACACGUGGGUAACCUGCCCAUCAGAAGGGGAUAACACUUGGAAACAGGUGCUAAUACCGUAUAACAAUAGAAACCGCAUGGUUUCUAUUUGAAAGGCGCUUUUGCGUCACUGGUGGAUGGACCCGCGGUGCAUUAGCUAGUUGGUGAGGUAACGGCUCACCAAGGCAACGAUGCAUAGCCGACCUGAGAGGGUGAUCGGCCACAUUGGGACUGAGACACGGCCCAAACUCCUACGGGAGGCAGCAGUAGGGAAUCUUCGGCAAUGGACGAAAGUCUGACCGAGCAACGCCGCGUGAGUGAAGAAGGUUUUCGGAUCGUAAAACUCUGUUGUUAGAGAAGAACAAGGAUGAGAGUAGAAUGUUCAUCCCUUGACGGUAUCUAACCAGAAAGCCACGGCUAACUACGUGCCAGCAGCCGCGGUAAUACGUAGGUGGCAAGCGUUGUCCGGAUUUAUUGGGCGUAAAGCGAGCGCAGGGGGUUUCUUAAGUCUGAUGUGAAAGCCCCCGGCUCAACCGGGGAGGGUCAUUGGAAACUGGGAAACUUGAGUGCAGAAGAGGAGAGUGGAAUUCCAUGUGUAGCGGUGAAAUGCGUAGAUAUAUGGAGGAACACCAGUGGCGAAGGCGGCUCUCUGGUCUGUAACUGACGCUGAGGCUCGAAAG